rnacentral:lncRNA from 14 species
AUUUUACUUCUUUGUAACUCAUGAAUCAGACAGGCAUUCAGCAGGUAAAGAGAGAGGGAAACACAGUGUCCUAUUUGAAAGGAAAAACCAAAGCAAAGAGGUGAUCCUGUGCCCUCUGAC